rnacentral:rRNA from 1 species
UACGAAGGGGGGCUAGCGUUGCUCGGAAUCACUGGGCGUAAAGGGUGCGUAGGCGGGUCUUUAAGUCAGGGGUGAAAUCCUGGAGCUCAACUCCAGAACUGCCUUUGAUACUGAAGAUCUUGAGUUCGGGAGAGGUGAGUGGAACUGCGAGUGUAGAGGUGAAAAUUCGUAGAUAUUCGCAAGAACACCAGUGGCGAAGGCGGCUCACUGGCCCGAUACUGACGCUGAGGCACGAAAAGCGUGGGGGAGCAAACAGG